GGAGUGAACGCUGGCGGUAGGCCUAACACAUGCAAGUCGAACGGCAGCACGGUAAGAGCUUGCUCUUAUGGGUGGCGAGUGGCGGACGGGUGAGGAAUACAUCGGAAUCUACCUUUUGGUGGGGGAUAACGUAGGGAAACUUACGCUAAUACCGCAUACGCCCUUCGGGGGAAAGCCGGGGACCAGCAAUGGCCUGGCGCUGAUAGAUGAGCCGAUGUCGGAUUAGCUAGUUGGUGAGGUAAUGGCUCACCAAGGCGACGAUCCGUAGCUGGUCUGAGAGGAUGAUCAGCCACACUGGAACUGAGACACGGUCCAGACUCCUACGGGAGCAGCAGUGGGAAUAGUUGGACAAUGGGCGCAAGCCUGAUCCAGCCAUACCGCGUGGGUGAAGAAGGCCUUGGUUGUAAGCCGUUUUGUAGGAAAGAAAGCAUUCGGUAUACCGUACGUGUGACGUACCGAAC
rnacentral:rRNA from 1 species